CUACGAGUCGCAGCAGUGGGGAAUAUUGCACAAUGGGCGCAAGCCUGAUGCAGCCAUGCCGCGUGUAUGAAGAAGGCCUUCGGGUUGUAAAGUACUUUCAGCGGGGAGGAAGGGAGUAAAGUUAAUACCUUUGCUCAUUGACGUUACCCGCAGAAGAAGCACCGGCUAACUCCGUGCCAGCAGCCGCGGUAAUACAGAGGGUGCAAGCGUUAAUCGGAAUUACUGGGCGUAAAGCGCACGCAGGCGGUUUGUUAAGUCAGAUGUGAAAUCCCCGGGCUCAACCUGGGAACUGCAUCUGAUACUGGCAAGCUUGAGUCUCGUAGAGGGGGGUAGAAUUCCAGGUGUAGCGGUGAAAUGCGUAGAGAUCUGGAGGAAUACCGGUGGCGAAGGCGGCCCCCUGGACGAAGACUGACGCUCAGGUGCAAAAGCGUGGGGAGCAAACAGGAUUAGAUACCCGUGUAGUC
rnacentral:rRNA from 1 species